GGGGUUAUAUUUUAAAAUUAAAAUAUGUGCUUUGCAUGCACAAGAUUGUGGGGCUCUA
rnacentral:tRNA from 1 species